CUGAGUGAGGGAGAGAGGCCAUUCAUCUUCUCUCUUGUCAGCAGUGAAAAGCUGUCAGAGCCCACCGCUGAGGAAGUUAUCACAGUCAGGUUUCUUAUCUUUCUGUAUGGAGGGGAUCUCUAAGUAGUUGUGGCUAUGAGUGUGCUCCGCUGACCGCUGCCUGCCAGAGCUGCCACUGACACAAGGAGAGUGAGAGAGCCUGCAGCAAGAACAGAUUUGGAGGUCCAUACAGUCACAAGGAUACCCAAUAUAUAUAUACGAAAAAUGAUCUCCACAAUCAACUAUGACCAAAGCUGAUGGAGUGAUAGAGUCAGCACUUUAGUAUUUCUCCUUUCCACCGUCUAAGACAGUUCUGUGCAGAAUCCUUUGAAUCUUGGACUGUACAAAUGGGUAUUGAUAUUUUCAUUAUACCAGUCUGCAUUUUUUAAGCCUCAAUACAAUUCCAUCAUUAUGUUAAAGGGGUACUCCACUGGAAAACGUCUUGUUUUUAAAUCAACU